UUUGUGGAUUUUAUUACUUUGAACACACUGGAUCUUGUCUGAUUUCUGAAGCAAAGCAAGUUUGGGCCUGAUUAAUAUUUAGAUGGAUGGCUACCAAAGAAUCUCUUAGUAGGUCUUGGAA
rnacentral:rRNA from 1 species